rnacentral:rRNA from 1 species
UGGGGAAUAUUGCGCAAUGGGGGCAACCCUGACGCAGCAACGCCGCGUGCGGGACGACGGCCUUCGGGUUGUAAACCGCUUUCAGCAGGGAAGAUAGUGACGGUACCUGCACAAGUAGCCCCGGCUAACUACGUGCCAGCAGCCGCGGUAAUACGUAGGGGGCGAGCGUUAUCCGGAUUCAUUGGGCGUAAAGCGCGCGCAGGCGGCUCUUCAAGCGGAACCUCUAACCCCGGGGCUCAACCUCGGGCCGGGUUCCGAACUGGAGGGCUCGAGUGCGGUAGAGGCAGGCGGAAUUCCCGGUGUAGCGGUGGAAUGCGCAGAUAUCGGGAAGAACACCGAUGGCGAAGGCAGCCUGCUGGGCCGGCACUGACGCUGAGGCGCGAAAGCUAGGGGAGCGAACAGG